rnacentral:lncRNA from 1 species
CCUCUUCCAUUCCUUAAUUAGUUCGAUUCUGUUUCCACUUCUUAAACCCAUGAGAAUUCUCCAUUCAAAGCAAUUAAUACAAGAGCCCUAAGAUUUCUUUUUCCUAUAACCCGUUGACGUUCCUUCUUCUAGACUCCGGCGAAAUAGUCGCCGCUGAGCUUGCGGUUCGUCCGCCGCCGAGUCACCGCUGAGCCCUGGAGUUCGUCCACCGUGCCGUCGACCCCCACCCCACCGACGACUUCUCUGUUUUGAUAC